GCUCGAAAAUCCAAAUUUUCUCAACGAAAUUUUAUGGACAGACGAAGCAACGUUCAAUAGUGACGGAGGAGUUAACAGACAUAAUAUGCACUAUUGGUCUGAAACUAACCCUCGUUGGAUGCGCGAGAUCCAGCAUCAGGGAAGGUGGAGUGUUAAUGUCUGGUGCGGUGUAAUAGGAUCUCAGGUCAUAGGUCCAUUUUUAUUUGAUGAGGGCCUAACUGGAGAACGAUAUCUUGGAUUUUUAAGAAAUGAGCUCCCAGCAUUAUUAGAAGAGGUGCCUCUGGUUAUAAGAGCCAACAUGUUUUUACAAGAUGACGGAUGCCCAGCUCAUUUUGCGGUACAAGUGCGAACGUUCCUUAAUCAGCGGUACCCUGAUCGGUGGAUUGGCAGAGGUAGCUUUUUCCCUUGGCCGGCAAGAUCGCCAGAUUUAACCUGCCUUGACUUUUAUUUAUGGGGUAGAAUAAAAGCCAUUGUAUUUUCUUCGAUUCCUACCAAUAGAGAAAAUAUGAAACAGCGAAUAAGGGGCGCUAUUCGGAGUUUACCAGCCGCAGAAAUAGAGGCAGCCGUGGAAUCAACCCGACGAAGAGUUCAGUUUGGAUCAGCCUUGUAAUUUCCGUCCCAUUUCUAUUUUGUCUACCCUCUCUAAGAUAGUUGAAAAACUUGCAAAAAGCAGAAUUUUGUCCUUUUUACAUCAUAAUGGCAUUUUGUCUGCAAAUCAGUUUGGAUUUCAAGCCGGUAAAGGGACUCAUGAUGCUGUUUUUAGCUUUUUGGAGAGCGUCUAUGUGUCCUUGAAUUCUGGAGAGUCAUCGGCGGCAGUGUUUUGUGAUUUAUCCAAAGCAUUUGACUGUGUGGAUCAUGGAAUACUGUUAUCUAAGCUCGAUAAAUAUGGUUUUAUGGGCGUAGCGUAGUGAGAAACUGGCUGGACAAUAAUUUUACAGGCAGAUGGAUAGGCCGAGGUGGUCCAAUAAACUGGCCUGCACGAUCGCCCGACCCUAAUCCUCUGGAUUAUUAUCUUUGGGGUAAUAUGUGCAAUAUUAUUUAUGCCACCGAAAUUGAUACUCCAGAAGAGCUUCAGAGGCGAAUUCUCGCAGCUGCAGGUCAAAUAAGAGAAAACCGAUUUGAAAUUCUUAGAUCGACCCAAAACAUUCAAAAAAGAUCCAGGUUAUGCAUUCAGGAAAACGGAAACUUGUUUGAACAUUUGCCUCAAAUAAAUUAGUAUUUUUAUCUGUUUGCAAUUUUAUUUGUCAAUUUACUUUUGAAGCGUGCUAUUGAGUUUUAAUAAAAAUUGUUAUUAAUAAUACUA